UGAGAAAAGGGAAAAGAAUGGGGGGAAAAGGCGCGUGCGGUGGCCGGGACCCCCCCGCGGGAGGAGCGGGGGGAGCGCGGAGCCCCCGGCGCGCUCGGGCCCGGCGGGCAGAGCUCCGCACCCGCGGAGCCCCGGCGGGGCGGGCAGAGGCGCAGCCCCGGGACCCCCGACCCGCUCCCGAGUUCCAAAAUGACCUUUCCCUGCAUCGUUUUGGAGGUAACCGAGCUGCGUAAUUAUAUUUGCACUUCCAGAAGACUGCAUCAGAGUCCCCUUAUUGGUUUGAAAUUCCAUUAAAUAUAUUGCAAGAGCUCCUAGGUUAAGCUUGAUUUAAAUUUGCAUACAUUUUCAUAUAUUUAGCAGAAAUAAAAGAAGGCUUGCAGCUACCAGAAAGUCAUUAAGGCAUUAGUUUCUCUGAGAAGACAGAUCUGAAGAAAAUUCAAGAAAAUGAGAAAAUAGAUCUAAAUAAGGCUCUCCCGGGCCACCCCACGCCCGUGAGGAGGACAUGGAGAAGCUUCCCACGCCCGUUUUGGUGGAAAUCGAGGCAUUUUCCGCCCCGGGACGGACUCAUCCCCUUCAGCUGGGAGUUUUAGCCGCAGGUGGAGUUGAAUACAGUGGUUAACUACAAGCAAUAUGUUCUGAAGACGGUGGUGUUCAGACAAAUACCCAAUUUGAUUCUGAUAAAUUGGAUGCAAGACUUUGACCAGCAUGAGAAGAACAGGCAUUGUGGAAGCAGGCAGCAUCCCACACCUGUGGAGGAGCUCAGCAGGAGAACAAAUGGGGGAAAAUAUUCCCAAUGUCGUGUUGCUGCUGGUGGCUCAGGGAGUUUGAACAGAGGUCUGUGGUGGUCCAGCUCGUUGGAAACUUUUGUGCUCAAACCAGGAGGAUGCUCCAGCUGGAGCUAAUCCCUGAAUUUCAAAUCUGUGCCUCCGCCGGUUUUGACACCGUGCAAUGAAGCAUCCGAGCUCUCAAGAUGUCUGGCUCUUCCGAGUUGUGAAAUGAGAAAACAAACAAACCCAACCAUUCCAGCCCUGUCAAUCUACUUCUCCAUGGACAGAUGCCCUGGUGCCGGAAAAGCUUCAUCCCAUGAUCCCACACCUCUUGGCUGUGCCAAAAAAAAAAACAACCAGAGAUCUACUGGACGCAAAAGCACGGCGGUUCCUCACCUCAAAAAAAUGGUGUUUAUGGCCACUCUGGAGCUCCUGGGUGAGGCUGUGUGGGGAAAUGUGUGCAGCCUCUUGUUCUGGCAUUCCUGGUCUCCCAGAUAAUCCAUCAGAUCUGCUCCUGGAGGAAGGUGCCUCUGGACAGUGAUGGAUUAACUGCUGAGGGUCCAGGCUAAGAAUUUGCCAAGGGCAUCAACAGCAGUUUUCCCAGGCUCCGGCACAAGGAUUAUGUAGUCAAUCCACAAAUGACUCAAAUCUUUGAAGAAAAGGACAUGGUUAUCAGAGAGGCUUUGACGACAGCAAGGACGGGAGUGCUAUCUGCCUUUUUCCAUCAGAGAUUCCCAUUCCCUCUCAUUAACAUACUCAGGACAUCAGCACAGCCAUGGGCCCGAGGGAAUCGCUUCCAACUUUUAAGGGAAUACGCACAAGACCUCGUCCCUGCGUUGUUUCAGACAGAUCAAACCAGAUUUGCCUCGUGUAAGGGUUCUUCAGUCCCACUGAGGAUGUGAUGUGGAAGCUGCUGAAACAAUCUCCCCUUUUUGAGAGGAUAAAGUGUAAUGGGAAUAGGACUGCUCAGUGGAGAAUUCCUCGUGGCAGAAGGAUGGGCAGCAAGGAGAUUUCUGAGGUGGUUUGGAUGUCACUUCCAUCAAGUAGAAGGAAUGUUAUGCUAAAACUGUUUAUCAAAACUGAAACCUCAUGGAUUAUUUUGUUGAAAAAGUCAAAACACAACCACUGUUUUUUUUCCCUAGGGCAGAGAUUUUGUGUUAGAGAAGAAAAUGAGAAAACAACCAGGCCCCAAAAGAGGGGAAAAGGGAAAACCUGAGAUUAGAGCAGAGAGAAGGCAUGAAAAUAUGUAAGAGAAAUUUGAUGAAGACCUAAUUGUAUCCAAAAUCCACAAUUGCUUUGAAAUCCAAGGAACUACUGUCACAUUAUUUGUUUGGAGAGGCUCUACAGUCAAAAAAUCCCCAUCACUUGUAUCCCACUUUCAGAAUUACAGUCUAUUCCAUUCUGAAAUCCCAAAAGACAGGUAAAACCCCUGGAUUUAUGACACUUGGGAAUGUUGGAAUGACACACAAGUAGCUGGGUUUUCCCAGGAAUGUUGUCCUGGGAUAUUUGAGUAACACAAGCUCUGGCAGAGGUGCUGGGGGUGUGAUGUGGGCACAGGAGCACUGUGAGUUCACGAUGUCACCGCUCUUCCUGGACAUCCCUUGGCACUUUGGAGCUGGGUAAAUCCAGCCAGGAACCUGCCAGUGCCUUCAGCAGGGCUGGAAUUCCAUCCCAGAGUGACACGGGCUGGUGACAUGGAGUGAUGUCAGGUCACUGAUGUAGAACUGGAAAGAUUCCUUGUCACAUCACUGAUCCCAUCGGGUUGCCAAAUUUCACUUGGGAUUUUUUACCAAGUUUCCAUUGCAAAUAUAUGGAUAACAUGUUUAGGCAUUAUCCUUAAAAAAGUAAAGAAAUAAUUUCUUUAAGAGAUGGGUGAUCUGUAGAAGACACUUGUGUAAUUUUGCAUUCUAAAUGUGAUUUAUAUUUGUAAAUAAAUUUGCAUAAAAUCUCCAGCUCUUGAUGUCAUAGUUCUAUUCUAUCUUUAAUUCAGAUGCUCAAAAAAUGUAAAUUAUUUUUACAGCUAAAUAAAAGCCAUACAAAGCU